UACGGGGGGGGUAAGCGUUGUUCGGAAUUACUGGGCGUAAAGGGCUCGUAGGCGGCCAACUAAGUCGGACGUGAAAUCCCUCAGCUUAACUGGGGAACUGCGUCCGAUACUGGAUGGCUUGGAUUUGGGAGAGGGAUGCGGAAUUCCAGGUGUAGCGGUGAAAUGCGCAGAUAUCAGGAGGAACACCGGUGGCGAAGGCGGUUCUCUGGGCAUUACCUGACGCUGAGGAGCGAAAGUGUGGGGAGCGAACAGG
rnacentral:rRNA from 1 species